AAGUCGUAACAAGGUCUCCGUAGGUGAACCUGCGGAGGGAUCAUUAACAAAAAUCAAAAAAAAACACAAAUGAAUCCCAAGAACGGAACGAGCCCCAAAAGCUUUUUCUCUUUUUUCGAUUCUUUUUUGCUUUUUUUUUAAUUCAAAAAACACUUUGCGAACCAUGUGACUGACCAAGUUGUUUUUCCGACGCUCUCACGAGUCGAACGAAAUCCUUGGCUUUUUUUUCACUAACAACCAAUUUCACCAAUUUUUUCUAUGAUUUUCUCAUUGCUCGUCUGAGCAGUGAAAGAAGCACAGGAAAAGCCAAUUGAAUAUCAAAAACUGAAAAGUUGAAAAUUUAAUUUCUAAUUUUUUCUUUUUCACAAAAUAAAAAAACAAAAUUAAAGCACAACUCUUAGCAACGGAUAUCUUGGUUCUC
rnacentral:misc_RNA from 1 species